UUUAAGGCGUCCAAUAAUACUCCAAACUGGAAGCCCGAGAGAGAGAAAGGAAGGACCUUUCAAAAAUUUUCUCGAUUUUUCUCUUUCUAGAAUCUGCCUUUUUUAAUCUAUUUCUCUCAAAAAAACCUUCCUUUCCACUUCUUCAGGGUAAUGCAGCAGGGGUCCUAUGUUUUUUCUGUUAAUAUCAGAUUGAGAAGCAAAAAUAUGGGUACUUAUCGAUCACAGUUAACAAAAUUUAUUAGGUAUCUCUUCAUUCUGACCGAGUUUAAAGGUUUCUCUGCGUAGGAAUUGCUGCUCUAUGAUUUCUUCAAUAUACGAGGUAAGAUCCAUUAUCUAAGUUAUCUCUUCUUAAGGAAUAAAUAUUGUUUGGACGUUGUUGUUUGGGAAAAUGGAUCUCACCUGAAAUCUGCUUCAAUGCUUAUCUGUUAGGUAAUUUGCCUUUUCCUAGCUUGGUGAGGUUUCUGCAGAGAUCAUUUUUUUUAUUCUGAUAUGACAUGGGGGCAAAUUCAGGACCUUAGCAAUGGUUGUUCAUCAUUAGAAGAGGCGUCUUAUAAAGAAUACUGUUUACCUCACACUUUUAGUCUCUUAUUAAUGCAUUGAGUAUGCAAAUACAAGGUUUGGCACAUCUAGUUUCUGGUUGGGGAUUUCAUACAAUCUAUGCAUUUUUAACUUAUAUUAUGAUCUUUGACAUUUUCCUUCUCUUGUAAUUUUAUAAAGCUGCUUUAAAUUGUGGUUAGAAUAUUUACUUUCAUCCCCCAAACAAGCUCAUUGCCUAAAUAGGUGGUUUUGUCACUCCUGCAUGUCCUUUUAGUAAUUAAUUAGGCUGUUGCUAGGCAGUAUACACAUACAUGCGCGCAGAAGCAUGUUGGCACCUAGGUACCAUAUGAGACCACAUUCUUGAUUUUGGAAGGCUUAAAUUCAAAUUUCUCUGUUAUAUUUUAACCCUUGGUAUCAUCUUGAGCAUUUUAUAUUUAGGUGUUUGUUUAUUUAUUAUGCAGAGGAUAAUAGGAUGAGAAACGUUGUUGUCAACAAGCAUGGAUUGUUUAUAAAGCCCUUCCUCCCUGUAUUUAUCAAUCCCUGUAUCUGUAUUUAUCUAUCGAUCUCUGUAUCUGUAUAUUAUCUGGCAACAAGGAAUGUUCUAAAUCCCUUGGAUUAUUAGAGUGCUGUUUAUCUUUGUGUCUUGAGUAAGCUAGUUGCUGAGUUAUUUAUUAUUGAUAUAGGUUCCCCUUAUUUGAUGCAUUUUAGUUAUUUCUAACUCCAUUCAUCAUUUUACAUUUUUUUUUUUGGCUUUUACCAUUACAGCUUUCUACUUUUCUAGUACUAGCUUAAUGCCUGGGAUAUUUUUGAGUUUUUAUAUAUUAUAAGAUGCUCCAUUCUGUUGAGGACCUUGAGGCACUCUUCUUGCCUUUCAUGAAAUGCCUCAACUUUGCAUGGACCUGGGCAACGAAGUGGGUUAGGACAAAAUUUCUUGAUUGGCUGCAAAAUUUAAGAACUUAGGAAACUUAAGUAGCUAUACUAGGUUCUAUACUGCUUGGACGUGUGGGGUUCUUUUGAUAAGGGAAGAGAAAGUGUUACAACAAGUAAAGUGAGAUGCACUAGAGGUGAUGGAGAGGAAGAUUAAAGCAAUUCUUGAAGUUUUAAGUGCUUUAUGGCAGGAGGUGAGAGAUAAAAGUUAGGGAAAAGAUAGUGAAACCUUGGCGGCGGAGCUUGAUGGAGAAUAGAAUAGGAAAGAGUUGAGUAGAGGAGAGAGAGUAUUCGAGAAGAGUUGAGGGAGAGCUUUAGAGAGUUUAAUGAUUUCACUGAAAUUUUGAUUUGCAUCUUUAAUUGCCAAGCGCAUAUAUAUAUAUAUAUAUAUAUAUAUAUAAUGUACUUAUUGGAUAUCAUCGAAAGAAAGAACAUGUUCAUGAUAAGAGCACGUCCAUUAUGUCAUAACACGUUUAUCAUCGGAUAGCACGGGAGCUCAUUAGUGAAAGGAUGUUUUGGUUUAAUGAGACAGUGGAGUUAAGUUACACUUAGCAAUGUGUCAUGUUUUUUAGGGAAAAAGAAAAAAGGUAAAGCACAUAUAAAUCGAAGAUCUUUUAACUAUCUUCAUAUUUGAGUUAUUUAAGUCAAGCUCUUAAGAACAUUUCAAAAGUGAAAAUAACUCAUGAAUCUUGUUACAUGUUCUGAAUUAUUUUCACUAUUCUCUGUUAUGGUAUGGCUCCUUGACAUAAUGUACGAUAUUAGUUGUAUGCUGUUAAUGAUGAGUGAUGGUCCUCAUCCUCGCACAACAGAAGAGGUAUUCAAUCAUGCGCAUGCCAUGGCCAGACUUGGUUUUUUCUUCUUUGCGCAGGAUGCUUUUUCAUGUGAAGGUCCCAUUGGAGCUGGUUUCGACUUUCUUAUCUUUAUUUUCGGUUUGUUGGUUUUUACUUAUUUUUAUUAUGUUGGUCAUGUUUUUUAUGUAAUAAUGAUUUAUUUUGUUCCUUUUAAUGAAAUUUCAUGAUUCAGUGAGAAAAAAUGAACAACUUUUAGAAGUGUGAAGCUACUUUUGAUUACCAAGGAGAUAGAAUUUACACUCAU